rnacentral:rRNA from 1 species
UACGUAGGGUCCGAGCGUUGUCCGGAAUUACUGGGCGUAAAGAGCUCGUAGGUGGUUUGUCGCGUUGUUCGUGAAAACUCACAGCUUAACUGUGGGCGUGCGGGCGAUACGGGCAGACUAGAGUACUGCAGGGGAGACUGGAAUUCCUGGUGUAGCGGUGAAAUGCGCAGAUAUCAGGAAGAACACCCGUGGCGAAAGCGGCUCUCUGGAACGGUACUGACGCUGAGACGCGAAAGCGUGGGGAGCGAACAGG